CCGGACCUCAGGCAGUUAUUAUACUGGUAUACUUAUCACUCUCGAACGUGUCAGUAUUUGGCGAAAGCGUCAACCGGCAUCUAACUUUGGAAAACCCAGAAAGAUGCGCUAGCGUCAUAUAUAACACGUGGAAGAGCUGUCGUUCUUUCAUUGUUCGAGCAAAUAGGCCAUCACGCGGAAGUCAUGCCAUCUGCGAAAGCCAUCUUCUUGGUGUUGGCGACCUGCGCCAUCUUGUACGUAGCCUAGCCACAGCUGCUCCAUUUAUCGGAUUCGGGUUCUACCCUAGUUUUUACGGACCUAGAUAUUAUAAUCCUUUCAGACAAGGGUACGGUUAUUACGGAUAUGGUCCUUUCCACAGGCCCCAUUGCCACCAUUACCAUGGAUACCCUUACGGAUAGAAAGCAGAAGAAUUCUGGUUCCAGCGAGCGAGAUUCUUCUCAAGCCUUUCUUCUUCUGCCUCUCUUGAAGUGGUAUCGAGCACGCAAAGACGGCUGAGUCUGACCUAUUAUGUUAUACAAAGGGAGUUCUAAUAUCAUUUAAUGAGUACAGUAUUAUCUUGUGGCAUUAGCAAUAAAAUAAUUUCUCUG